GAUGAACGCUAGCGGCAGGCUUAACACAUGCAAGUCGAGGGGCAGCAUGAGACGGAGAUUCGUCGAAGUCUUGAUGGCGACCGGCGCAAGGGUGCGUAACGCGUGAGCAACUUGCCCGUUUCUGGGGAAUAACCGGUGGAAACGCCGACUAAUACCCCAUAGUAUUGACUUUGGGCAUCCUUAGUCAAUUAAAGAAUUUCGGAAACGGAUAGGCUCGCGUGACAUUAGCUGGAUGGCGGGGUAACGGCCCACCAUGGCAACGAUGUCUAGGGGUUCUGAGAGGAAGGUCCCCCACACUGGAACUGAGACACGGUCCAGACUCCUACGGGAGGCAGCAGUGAGGAAUAUUGGUCAAUGGUCUGACGACUGAACCAGCCAUGCCGCGUGAAGGUCACGGCCCUAUGGGUCUUAAACUUCUUUUGCAAGGGAGCAAUAAGGUCUACGUGUAGAUCGAUGAGAGUACCUUGCGAAUAGCAUCGGCUAACUCCGUGCCAG
rnacentral:rRNA from 1 species